CUUAUCAAGAGCGGCGGAGGGACAGGUCCUGUGAAGCCCGGCAACCUGUGUUAUUUCAACACAAGGUGCUAAUUCCUGCGGAAUCAUUCCGAAAGAUGAGG
rnacentral:ncRNA from 1 species